rnacentral:rRNA from 1 species
GCCAGCAGCUAUAUCAACACGCAACUCACAAGUGGCAGCCCACUGAAACUCAGCAGGUGUGAGCCUGGUCAGUACCUGGCUGGGAGACCUCCUGGGAAAGCCAAGGCUGCUGCUGGAA